AGAGCCGCAGCCCACCCGGGGAAGUGAGGAGCAGCUGCGUGAGGCAGCAGAGGGGUUCCACAUGGCGACCAAUGCUGCAGCCCAGAACACCAUCAAGAAGCUUGUGCACAAGCUGGAGGUGAGAUCUACGCUUAGUGAUGGAACUCAGGGAGGAGGGAUCGCUGCCCGAGAGGUGCCCCUCUCCCUGCACUUGCUCAGCCAGGCUGCCUGUGGUGUGGCAACCAGCACACCCAACCCGCAGGCACAGAGUGCCAUGCUGGAGUGCGCUGGCGAUGUCAUGGAUAAAGCCAACAACCUCAUUGAGGAGGCGCAGAAAGCGGUGGCCAAACCCCAUGACCCAGAGAGCCAGCAGCGCCUGGCCCAGGAGGCCAAGGCAGUGUCACAGGCCCUGAGCCACUGUGUCAACUGUCUGCCAGGACAGCGGGAUGUGGACGCUGCCAUCUGCAUGGUGGGAGAGGCCAGCAAAAGUCUGUUGGUGGAUUUGUUCUUUCCCAGCACCAAGAGCUUCCAGGAGGCGCAGAGCCAGCUGAACCGGGUGGCUGUGGGGCUCAACCAGUCUGCCAACAAGCUGGUGCAGGUGUCACGUGGUACCUCUCAAGACCUGGCUAUGUCUUCCAGGAAGUUUGGGCAGGACUUCAGUGAGUUCCUGCAGGCAGGAGUGGAGAUGGCCAGCAAGUCUCCAAAUAAGGAAGACCAGACACAGGUGGUGUUGAACUUGAAGAGCAUCUCCAUGUCCUCCAGUAAGCUGCUGCUGGCUGCAAAGGCACUCUCUGCUGACCCCACAGCCCCCAACCUCAAGAAUCAGCCAGAGGCAGCGGCAUGGGCUGUGACCGACAGCAUUAACCAGCUUAUCACCAUGUGCACUCAGCAGGUGCCAGGCCAGAAAGAGUGCAACAACACCCUGCAGGAGCUGGAGAUGGUGAAAGAGCUGUUGGAGAACCCCACCCAGACCAUCAACAACAUGUCCUACUUCACCUGCCUCGACAGCGUCAUGGAGAACUCCAAGGUGUUGGAUGAGUCCAUGGCUGGCAUCUCCCAGAAUGCCAAGAACAGCAAACUGCCCAAGUUCGUUGAGUCUAUCAGUGCCACCUCCAUAGCUCUCUGUGGGCUGACAAGAAGCAGUUGCCCAGCUGCCUACCUUGUGGGUGUCUCAGACCUCAACAGCCAGGCUGGACAGCAGGGCUUGGUAGACCCCGCUCAGUUUGCCAUAGCUAACCAAGCCAUCCAUAUGGCCUGCCAGAACCUGGUGGACCCUGCCUGCACCCAGUCCCAGGUGCUGUCAGCAGCCACCAUUGCAGCGAAGCACACCUCGUCCCUGUGCAACACGUGCCACCUGGCCUCCUCCCACACUGCCAGUUCUGUGGCCAAGUGCCAGUUCAUCCAGUCAGCCAAGGUGGUGGCCAACAGCACAACCAAUCUGGUGAAGACCAUCAAGGCCCUGGAUGGCAAGUUCAACAAGGAGAACUGGGAGCAGUGCCACACUGCCACUGCCCCUCUCAUAGAGGCUGUGGAUAACCUGACCGCCUUUGCUUCCAACCCGGAGUUUGCCACUGUGCCUGCCCAGAUCAGCCCAGAGGGGUAUAGAGCCAUGGAGCCCAUCAUCUCUUUAGCCAAGAACCAUGCUGGAGAGCUCUACUGGCCUCAUCCAGACCGCCCGCUCUCUGGCUGUCAAUCCCAAGGACCUACCACAGUGGUUGGUGCUGGCCAACCCGCUCUCACACAGUCUGAGAUUCCAUCAAGAAGCUGAUCACCAACAUGAGGGACAAAGCUCUGGGACAGCGGGAGUGUGAUGAGGCCAUUGAGGUGCUGAACAGAUGCAUGUGGGAGAUGGACCAGGCCUCCCUCGCUGUCAUCAGCCAGCAGCUGGCCCCCCAAGAAGAUAUCCACCAGGAGAGUUUGCACAACAAGAUGAUCACAGCUGUUCAGGAGAUCAGCAACCUGAUCAAGCCCAUGGCCAGCGCAGCAUGGGUUGAGGCCUUGCAGCUGGGGCACAAGGUGUCCCAGAUGGCUUAGUACUUUGAGCCGUUCACUAUAGCAGCUAUUGGCACUGCCUCCAAAACACCUACUAGCAGGAGAUGAACCUCCUGGACCAGACCAAAAUGCUGGCCAAGUCCAUCCUGCAGAUGCUGUAUAUAGCCAAGGGGGCCAGUGGAAACCUGAAGCAAGCUGCCCACACCCAGGAGGCUCUGGAGGAGGCCAUGCAGAUGAUGAAGGAAGUGGUGGAGGACCUGGCCACCACCCUAAAUGAGGCAGCCAGCGCUGCAGGUGUUGUGGGGGACAUGGUGGACUCUAUCACCCAGGCCAUCAACCAGGUGAGGGGAGCAUGGAGAGGACCUGCUGGGGCUGGAGCCAGAUUCUCCUGAUGGUCUCUUGCAGCUGGACGAGGGGCCAAUGGCUUCUUCCAUCAGCAGGUCACCAAAUCCACCACCAACCUAGAUGAGCUGGGCAUACUGGCCAACCAGCUCACCAAUGACUAUGGGCAGCUGGUGCAAGAGGCCAAGCUGGCUGCACUCACCACAGAGAACAAGGAGAUCAGCUCCCACAUCAAGCACCAGGUGCAGGAGCUGGGUCACAGCUGUGCUGCCCUGGUCACUAAGGCUGGAGCUCUGCAGUGCAGCCCCAGUGAUGCCUACACCAAGAAGGAGCUGAUAGAGAACACACGCAAGGUUUCUGAGAAGGUGUCUCACGUGCUGGCAGCCCUGCAGGCUGGGAACCACAGGACACAAGCCUGCAUCACAGCAGCCAGCACCCUCUCUGGCGUCAUUGCCGACCUUGACACCACCGUCAUGUUUGCCGUGGCAGGAACUCUUAAUCAGGACAACUUGGAGAUCUUUGCUGACCACAGGGAGGGCAUCUUGAAGACAGCCAAGGUGCUGGUGGAGGACACCAAGGUGUUGGUGCAGAAUGCCACGGCCAGCCAGGAGAAGCUAGCCCAGGCUGCCCAGUCCUCUGUGUCCACCAUCACCCACCUGGUGGAGGUGGUGAAGUUGGGCGCUGCCAGCCUGGGAUCUGAAGACCCAGAGACUCAGGUGGUCCUGAUCAAUGCUGUGAAGGAUGUAGCCAAGGCACUUGGGGACCUGAUCAGUGCCACCAAGGCAGCUGCUGGCAAAGCCAGGGAUGACCCUGCUGUCUACUAGCUGAAAAACUCUGCCAAGGUGAUGGUGACAAAUGUCACUUCCUUGUUGAAGACAGUGAAGGCUGUUGAGGAUGAGGCCACAAAGGGGACAUGGGUGCUGGAGGGCAUGAUAGAGCAUAUACGUGAGGAGGUCAUCACCACAGCAAACCUGAGCCACUGUGCCAUUGCGGAUAUGCCGCACGCCUGCAAGCAAGCAGAUGAGAGCCUGAACUUCGAGGAGCAGAUCCUGGAAGCUUCCAAAUCCAUUGCUGCAGCCAUGAGCACCCUGGUGAAGGCAGCUUCAGCAGCCCAGCGAGAAUUAUCAGCCCAAGGAAAGGUAGGUGCCAUCCCUGCCAAUGCAGUGGAUGAUGGAUAGUGGUCCCAGGGACUCAUUUCAGCCGCACACAUGGUGGCUGCUGCCACCAACCACCUGUGUGAAGCUACCAAUGCAGCGGUGCAGGGCCAUGCCAGUGAGGAGAAGCUCAUCUCGUCAGCCAAGCAGGUGGCUGCCUUCACAGGGCAGCUCCUGGUGGCCUGCAAGGUGAAGGCUGACCACAACUCAGAGGCCAUGAAGCGGCUUCAGGUUGCCAGCAAUGUGGUGAAGAGAGUGUUGGACAAUCUGGUGAAGGUAGCACAGAAGGCGGCUGCCUUCCAGGACCGUGACGAGAUGGUGGUGGUGAAGGAGAAGAUGGUCGGGGGAAUUGCACAGAUCAUUGCCGCCCAAGAGGAAAUGUUGCACAAGGAGCAGGAGCUGAAGGAGGUGCAGAAGAAGCUGGCCGUGAUCCAGCAGCAGCAGUACAAGUUCCUGCCCUAGGAGCUGCAGGCCGAGGAGCAGAACUGA